CCUACGGGAGGCUGCAGUGGGGAAUAUUGGACAAUGGGGGGAACCCUGAUCCAGCCAUGCCGCGUGUGUGAAGAAGGCCCUCGGGUUGUAAAGCACUUUCAGUGAGGAAGAACGCCUGGUGGUUAAUACCCAUCAGGAAAGACAUCACUCACAGAAGAAGCACCGGCUAACUCCGUGCCAGCAGCCGCGGUAAUACGGAGGGUGCGAGCGUUAAUCGGAAUUACUGGGCGUAAAGCGCGCGUAGGUGGCUUGAUAAGCCGGUUGUGAAAGCCCCGGGCUCAACCUGGGAACGGCAUCCGGAACUGUCGAGCUAGAGUGCAGGAGAGGAAGGUAGAAUUCCCGGUGUAGCGGUGAAAUGCGUAGAGAUCGGGAGGAAUACCAGUGGCGAAGGCGGCCUUCUGGACUGCCACUGACACUGAGGUGCGAAAGCGUGGGUAGCAAACAGGAUUAGAUACCCGGGUAGUC
rnacentral:rRNA from 1 species